rnacentral:rRNA from 1 species
UACGGGGGGGGCACGCGUUGUUCGGAAUUACUGGGCGUAAAGGGCGCGUAGGUGGUUCGGUAAGUCGGAUGUGAAAUCUCCAGGCUCAACCUGGAGGGGUCAUUCGAUACUGCCGUGACUAGAGUUCGGUAGGGGAGUGUGGAAUUCCUGGUGGAGCGGUGAAAUGCGCAGAUAUCAGGAGGAACACCCGUAGCGAAGGCGGCACUCUGGGCCGAUACUGACACUGAGGAGCGAAAGCGUGGGGAGCGAACAGG